CCUGCUAUCCACUAUUAAAAGCUAAAUGCAGUCAAACCAGUGUCAGCUUUUGAGCCUGAUGAACCCCUGGUUAUACUUGUUGAGUACGAUAUGUGCUCACUCUUGCUAUUUCCCACCACUUCAGUUUACUAGUAAGAGUUGAGCAGAAGAGCGAUGGAAUCAUGAAGGUGUUCUCAAGAUACAAGAAGUGCUAAGCAUAUGUUACCCCUAGUGUAACACCCAAAAAUUUAUUUUCAAUCAAUAGGAAUUAAUUUGAUUUAAUUAAGCAUUUUUUUUGUGAGCAUUUAAUGUAGUAAAUAAAUAAAUUCUGUUGAAAAUAAAAUUUAUCAUAAGUUUAGAGACAUGGCUGUGCAUUCAUGCUGAAGCAUAAUAAUUUUUGUGCUGAUUGUAUUUUAUUUUAUUUACUUUAUGCUCAAAAGCUCUUUUAGAAAAUGCUUUGAAAAAGAAAACAGAAAAGAAAAAGAAUAAUAAAAAAAAGAGGCAAAGACCCACCCCCGGCCUUUCUUUCCCCCUCUCCCCACUCGCGGUUUCGGCCCAGCAAACCAGCAGCAGCGCCCGGCCCAACUUCCCCACCCCGGCCCACUCCUUUCCAGACCCGCAGUGCGCCCCUCCUCUCUUCUCUUCCUUGGCUCACUGAUCACUGGGGCCCACACGUCAGCGUGUUCUUUCUUCUUCCCCAGCGCACGCAACCGAACAGGAAACCCCCUAUCGAAUCGAACCCGUGGAGCCGGGAUUUCCUUGCCGUUUUGCACGAACCGAGGCCCUAUAAAGCUUCCAAGUAUCGCAGCGGAUUUCUUUUCCGUUAGACGCGCGUCCGAGGAACCCUAGCCGCCGCAGCGCGAAGCUUUGCAUCUUGCCGAAAGCCAACUCCAUCUCCGCACGCCGCG
rnacentral:lncRNA from 1 species